CAAAAUGACUCUCGGCAACGGAUAUCUCGGCUCUCGCAUCGAUGAAGAACGUAGCGAAAUGCGAUACUUGGUGUGAAUUGCAGAAUCCAGUGAACCAUCGAGUCUUUGAACGCAAGUUGCGCCCGAAGCYUUCGGGCUAAGGGCACGUCUGCCUGGG
rnacentral:rRNA from 1 species